UGAAAUCUCUUAAAAGACUUGUAUUUAAGAAUAGAUGGAGUAUAAUAGUUAGCUAUAAAAGAUUACUAUUUUUAUCUUAUAUGUCCCAUCUUUUAUUCUCACAAAGCACCUAGGAGCACGUGCUAAAGCUGGCUCUUCACGAAGAGCCCGCUUCCUUUCUCUUUCCUCUCCUCUCUCAUCCAACUUAGCAGAAAUAUAUUAUUUUAACCCUUGCAGCCUGCUGAUUGUACCUUAUUGUACUUGCUCUUAGCUCAUUGGGAUUAGAUAAUUAAAAAAGAAAGAGAUGGUGUGUUGCACCUUUUCAAUGCAUUUUUUACCCCACUUCAUAAUUUGUCCUAAAAUGUCUAUAUGUACUCUUUUCAUCGGACGGAUGGAGUAGCUAUUUUUUCUCUUUCUCUCUCUUAGAUACUCCUCCCGUCCGAAAUUACUUGUCGCAUAAAUGAAUGAAAAUAGAUGUAUCUAGAACUAAAAUACAUCUAGAUACAUUCAUUUAUAUGACAAGUAUUUCGAACGGAGAAAGUAUAUACCUACAAGCAUAGUAACGCCUCUCUCUCUAGUGCAACAUUUCGGAGCCCAUCUUAUUUGCACCCGGUCAUAAAAAAAUUAUAAUUCAUCAAAAAAUUUCUACUCCCUCUGUCUGGAAUUACUUAUGGCAUAAAUUGAUAAAGAUGAAUGUAUCUAGAACUAAAAUACAUCUAAAUGCAUCCAUCCCUAUGACACGUAUUUUCGGAUGAAAUGAGUAUUCUUUUUCAUGGUAGAAAAGUUCUCGCGUGAGGUGCGCUUUAAUGUUUAGGUCAUUGGGAUAUCUGAGCAGCUAUCAGCAAAGAAAAAAGACACAUUAAAUAAAAAUAAUGCAUGAAUAAUAAACCUUUAUACAGAUUUUUUUUUUUGUUGAGAUGUGAGAUGACGCCACGUCGUUCAUGUCGCCAUCCGCCGAUUCGCUCCUCGCUCAGUUAGUUGGUUCUCUCGGCUCUAUCACUCCUGUGUUCAGCUCCAAAACAGCCCGUAGCUUCUAAAACUUCGGCGGCUGGACUGGGCACACCAUCCCUAACCCAUCUGGACUGGGUCAGCUUCAGUCGUCUGCCGCAUCUCUUGUCGCCGCCGCCGCCGCCGCCACACUCGUCUCCGUCGUUCGCCACUGGCCAAUCGUCAGCUUUUGUUGUCAUCUCCUUCGUCCUCCUCCCGCCCCUUGUCCGGCACGGGAUAGCGGGAGUGCGGCCGCCGGCCAGACGCAUAAGAACUGGGAACCACUUCAGAAUUGAAGAAAAGGAGACUGAGCAAACCAUUGGAGAAGAUGGAAUCUGAGAUCACUUGUGAUAUUUAGAAGAGGCCAGAAGGAGCUAUGUUGAUCAAGUCAAAAAAUCUGAAACUAACUAAAGCUUUAGCUGUAAGACAUGAUCUGAACUUUGCAGCACAAGCACGUUUUCAGAAAAUGGAAACAACAUAAGGUUGCUUGUCGUUGAUCAACAACAUGAAGAGUGUAGAGCGGUGGUAUUAUAUGUAAAACACUGAAAUUUAUUGUGCAGCUUGCGUCAUGUAAAUAUGUCUUGUAAGGAAGCAGCUCAUGUUCGGUAAAAUCAGCCAAAUAUGAUGUGGUAUAAUGAGUACCAUGUGAUUGUGUGGACCAAUUUCUGUAAAUAACAUAAUUUCAAUGAAUGACAGCUAAUGAAA